UAGCAUGAAUUUUGUUACGUACUGUGACAAUGCCAUCCAUAGUAGUAGUAUUGGAGAUAUUUUUCUAUUCCACUACUUUGGUUAACUAAAAACUGAUAUCUAAUUAAACAUAAAUUAUAGGCAUUGGUGAUGUGUGUAGGAAAAGUCAGUCUCCGAAGUCUGAAUGAAUAGUAGAUAUAUAUAGCUCUGGUGUAUGACAGAAGGAGAAGUGGUGGUGAUAAACAGUGUUUAUAAAUGCAGGGAAGAAUUGUAUGUAGUAACUGUGAAGCAUGGGAGAGAUAAGAAGAGGGGCUAAUGAGGUUGGUAAAAGUUGUUUAGUGAGAAAAAAUUUGAUGGUAGGCACGUGGACUAAAAUGAAUUGGUGAAUUGAUGUAAAACGAAAAGUACAAUGAUGUGUCAUUAUGGUUGUGUGGCCGGUAGAGAUAAAUGAUUGAGGUAAUUGAGUUUAAUGAGAAGUAGUAUAAGAAUGAUUUUAGUGAGAAAUAUUGGUGUGGUGGUUAAUGGAAGAGAGGAUUAAAAUUGAAUAGGGUUGCAAAGAGACGUACGUAGUUGGUGGGAUUAGUAAUGCAGAGUAUCGUGUUGCAGGGUGCGUAUUUAAUGGAUGUUACUAGAAUACAAUUGUUGUUGGGUUAACGAGAAAACCAAAGACAUAAAAGAAGACGUACAACGUAUGUUCUUCGCAGACAAGACGGCAACAAUUAUGAAAAAGUAACGGAGAUUGUGGUUUCGAUGCAUGCAUGCCCUUUCCCUUUCUCUUCUGCCUUCUUUUUUUCUUUUAUCAUAUUCAUAGAUACUCUUUCUGUCUUUUCCGAUACUCCAUUUACCAUUUACCAUUU
rnacentral:lncRNA from 1 species